GCGGGCUGGACCUCUCGGGGUUACAGCCUUGCUGAAUUAUUCACCCUUGUCUUUUGCGUACUUCUUGUUUCCUUGGUGGGUUCGCCCACCACUAGGACAAACAUAAACCUUUUGUAAUUGCAAUCAGCGUCAGUAACAAAUUAAUAAUUACAACUUUCAACAACGGAUCUCUUGGUUCUGGCAUCGAUGAAGAACGCAGCGAAAUGCGAUAAGUAGUGUGAAUUGCAGAAUUCAGUGAAUCAUCGAAUCUUUGAACGCACAUUGCGCCCUUUGGUAUUCCAAAGGGCAUGCCUGUUCGAGCGUCAUUUGUACCCUCAAGCUUUGCUUGGUGUUGGGCGUCUUGUCUCUAGCUUUGCUGGAGACUCGCCUUAAAGUAAUUGGCAGCCGGCCUACUGGUUUCGGAGCGCAGCACAAGUCGCACUCUCUAUCAGCAAAGGUCUAGCAUCCAUUAAGCCUUUUUUUUCAACUUUUGACCUCGGAUCAGGUAGGGAUACCCGCUGAACUUAAGCAUAUCA
rnacentral:rRNA from 1 species